rnacentral:tRNA from 1 species
GACGGUAUAGCUUAAGUGGUAGAGCACAUGCUUAGCAUGCACGAGGUCCUGGGUUCAAUCCUCAGUACCUCCA